rnacentral:rRNA from 1 species
CGUUAGGCAAAUCCGUCAGGUCUUAACAGUGAGGCAUAAAACAGUAAUCCGUAUGGAUGAAAGCUGAUGAUUCCACGCUGCCAAGAAAAACCUCUAAGGAGAGGGAUUGGGAACCGUACCACAAACCGACACAGGUAGACGAGGAGAAUAUCCAAAGGCGCUCGAGUGAAGGCUUGUUAAGGAACUCGGCAAAUUAGACCCGUAACUUCGGGAGAAGGGUCGCCCACCUCUGGUGGGCCGCAGUGAAGCGCGUACGGCGACUGUUUAACAAAAACACAGGUCUCUGCAAAGUCUAAAACGACGUAUAGGGGCUGACUCCUGCCCGGUGCUGGAAGGUUAAAGGGAGAGGUUAGAGGUAACUCGAAGCUUUGAACUGAAGCCCCAGUGAACGGCGGCCGUAACAAUAACGGUCCUAAGGUAGCGAAAUUCCUUGUCGGGUAAGUUCCGACCUGCACGAAUGGAGUAACGAUCGUACGACUGUCUUAACGAGUUGCUCGGCGAACUUGUAGUACCGGUGAAGAUGCCGGUUACCCGCAGCUAGACGAAAAGACCCCGUGCACCUUUACUAUACUUUUACUAUGGGUUACGGCAAUUGCUGCGCAGGAUAGGUGGGAGGCUUUGAUACCGGGAUCUCGGUUUCGGUGGAGCCAACGGUGAGAUACCACCCUGCGAUUGUUGUGAUCCUAACCUACUCCCAUUAUCUGGGAGAGGGACAUAGUAAGACGGGUAGUUUGACUGGGGCGGUCGCCUCCUAAAUUGUAACGGAGGCGCGCGAAGCUACACUCAGGCCGUUUGGAAAUCGGCCGUCGAGUGCAAAGGCAUAAGUGUGGUUAACUGCGAGACCUACAAGUCGAGCAGAUGCGAAAGCAGGCCUUAGUGAUCCGGUGGUUCUGUAUGGAAGGGCCAUCGCUCAACGGAUAAAAGGUACGCCGGGGAUAACAGGCUGAUCAUUGCCAAGAGUUCAUAUCGACGCAAUGGUUUGGCACCUCGAUGUCGGCUCAUCGCAUCCUGGAGCUGUAGAAGGUUCCAAGGGUUAGGCUGUUCGCCUAUUAAAGCGGUACGUGAGCUGGGUUCAGAACGUCGCGAGACAGUUCGGUCUCUAUCUGCUGUGGGCGUAGGAGAUUUGAGAGGGCCUGUCCUUAGUACGAGAGGACCGGGAUGGACGAACCUCUUGUGUUCCAGUUGUCUUGCCAAAGGCACGGCUGGGUAGCGAAGUUCGGUUAUGAUAACCGCUGAAUGCAUAUAAGCGGGAAGCAUGCCUCAAGAUGAGAUCUCCCAACCCAAAAGGGAAAUGAAGGGCCCUAGAAGACCACUAGGUUGAUAGGCUGGAGGUUGAAGUGCAGUAAUGCAUGUAGCUUACCAGUACUAAUCGCCCGUUCGGCUUGUCC